GCUCUUUCCCGGGAAGGAUGAAAUCUGACCCCUAGGCUUUAAAUGUACAUGUUAACUUUCCCAGAUACUGCUUUAGAUAGCAGGACAUGUAGCAUAGUUGUCUACCUCUUCUUCUGAAGGUGGAACAUAAAAUAAACAGAAGUAGAAAAGUCAAGGAGAAAGAGUUAGCAGACAGGCAGCUGACUUAGCGUGCCAGGAAAGAUAUUUCCUUGCAAGUAACUUGGUUUCAACUCCUUAAUUUCUUAUUCAGCUAAUUCUGAAUGGAAACCAAACAAGCCUUUGCUGAGGCAAGAAUUAAGUCUCGUUAAACCAGACUAGUCUUUGUUUGGUAGGUCAGAACAUAUUCAAACUCUUAUAAAUCUUUCAGCCUUAUGCAUAGUGAUUCAACUUGAAUAAGUGGAUUGAGCUUGCCCCAUACUUGCUUCAUUUCUCACCUAUUAUGUUGCCGCAGAACCAGGUUGCAACCAGCAAAGGAAUCAUCAAUUCAGACGAUCAAUAUAUGCAACUGUGAAAAGUAACCGCUCAUGUUUAGUCUUUGCAGAGCCCAAGACACUCUACAUCUUCAACUAGGAUAACACAGGACUGCCAGAGGCAGGACACAGAGCAGAGAAAUGCUUGAGGUUUAACACAUUAUGCUUGACACUCUGGCAUCAAGUAAGAUGACUCAACAUUUUAAGGAAUGACUCAACCUGGAAAAGCACAAGAACCACUGAUAUGUCAAGACAUUAUUUCAAGCUCAACUUAAGCAACACAACCUGUCAAAACUGUUCAAAUUAAAUUUGCCACUCUGCAACUAAUCAUUCAUGCUUAGAUUUAGUACUGUUUACAGUUGUAUUGCUUACAGAACUUGUGGCUUCUGCACACAGGAUGGUAAUCUAGAUUGCUGACUAGCAAAAUAAAGGUGAUAGUGAAGUGGUUAGUAGGUUAGGUUCAGUAAAUUGUCUUCAGGUAAGUAUAGAGGUUGCAGAAAUGUUUCCAUUUGUAUUUCAGCGUAGUUUGCAUUCCAGUUCACUACACAAAAUAAUUUUUAGAAGCUAGUUAUUUCCAAGCCAAGACCAAACACAGUAGGUUCUGUUUUUACUGACUCUAUCAGUAUUGUUUGGAAUCUUUUAACCCUCCUUUUUCAUGCCAGUGACAAUAACAAAAGUAAUGCCCUUUAAUGUCCAUAGCUACACAAUUUCAGUAUGUCUCAAAUUCCAAAGAUCUGUAGAUUCAAUAACAUUUAUAAUACCAUAAGCUUAGAGUCAAAGAAUGGUUUGAGUUGGAAGGGACCCUUAAAGGCCAUCUGUCCCACUCCCUGUACUGAACAGGGACACCCACAGCUCCAUCAGUGCUCAGAGCCCUGUCCAGUCUGACCUUGGCAGUCUGCAGGGACGGGGCACCCACCAUCUCUCUGUACUGGGGACUCCACAUCUGGAUGCAGCACUCCAGGUGAGGUCUCACAGCACAGAGCAGAGGGUCAGGAUCCACUCCCUUACCCUGCUGGCUACGUUGCUUUGGGUGCAGCCAAGAACAUCGUUGGCUUUCUGGGCUGCGAGAGCCCAGAACUAAUUACCGAAUUACUGAUAAAUUGAUAACUGAGAGUUAUUAAACUCUCAGUCUCCAAAAUAGUUUGGUUGCAUAUAAACUGUUUAUUUUGAACGGUUCUGUUAACUCUCAAAACCCACUCAAGAAUUGUUCUGGAACUAGAAAACAUUGCAAGGAGCCUUUGAAUGAUUCAGCAGCAUGGAUGGUAUGGUUCAGGAGCCUAUGCUUAUGCCAUUCUCCUUGGAGGCAUUCAAGGCCAGGCUGGAUGUGGCUCUGGGCAGCCUGGUGGGGUGGUUGGCGACCCUGCACAUAGCAGGGGGUUGAAACUAGAGAAUAAUUGUGGUCCUUUUCAACCCAGGUCAUGCUGUGAUUCUAUGAUUCUCCUGCCUAAUUUACUCAUGAAAGUUGUACUGGAGUGGAAGCUCAGUAUGAGGGAAUACCAUCAGGCAACACCAUGUCUGUGAUAUAUCUGUUGGAGUUCCAGAUGUGGAAAGGCUGAUAAACCCACUGGAUACUGUCUACUACCUUAGGGAAGUAAGGAAAAAGAAAAAGGGACUCCAAUAUAAGGGUUCUGCCAUCUUUAAUAGUAGAAAAAUGCCCUAGAGAAGAGCUCCUAAAUAGGUGGGAGAAAAUAUUUUACCAUCAGAGAUUUGAAGAUCUCUGAAAAUGAAGACACAACAGCAAUAGAUUUUCAAGGAGAAACUACCUUGAAGUAACAGAGUGUUUAAUUUAUCAAAUAAGAACAUAAUAAAAACCUAUGGCUGAAAGGUGGAAGGAGAGACAUUCAAAUGAAGAAUCAGGCAUGUAUUUUUAACCAUGUGAGCAUAUGUAACCGUAACAGAUUGCCAGGGAAAGGGAUGGAGUUCCUAAUAUUCUGUGUCUUCACAUCAGGUAUAGGCAACUUCCUGAAGAAGCACUGAUCAAGACAUUUGCCACCAAACCAAAGCCAGAAUAGAAUGUUAAUGUUCUCUGAGAAUGAUUGGAUUAGAAAACCUAACACAUCUUCAUGCCAUGAGGAUCUGCAAAGUCUUCUCUCUUAUUCCAGUGGCAUAAAGUAUGAACAUGGUCCCUCAGCAACUUUGGUGAGAUAGAAGGGGUAAAGCAAAGGCAGGAAGGAUUCAGGAAAAGAAGCAGAGUGAAAAUUUAGGAUGACAGGAAAAAAGGCUUCAUUUGAGAGAUCAGAAUCCCCCUUUCUUUCCCAUGACUGCUUCCUUGUACUCUCCUUGGCAAAACACUUAGAAGAGGUAAUGCUGAUCCUUCUUAGUAAACUAAAUAGCUCCAGAACGUAUUCACAAGCACUGAAAUCUGAUAAUCUAUAAUAUUAAACUGUGCAAAUAGGAGGAAUUUGGCUUUGGGUAUCUAGCCAUCACCCAAACCGUUAGCAAAUCUGGAAAAUUCAAGGACCCAUGCAUCCUCCUUGCUUGUGGAGUUAAGGGAGUUCAAUACUGUGGACAUGGGUCAUUCUAUGCCACCUAGUCUCAGUGCCAGAGAAUUAGUUUAAGCAUGUUUAAUUUACUAGUACAGACACAAUUCUUGUUUCCUGAAGCUGUGGUAAUUACCCAAGGAGAUAUAAGCCGGUUUGAUUUAACUUACUGUAUACUUAAUAGUUUUUUGGAAAAGAUAAAGGAUUGAAGAUAAAAGUCUGGGACUUUGCUCAUGCUUGACAUUCUUCUCAGAACUCUGAAGAUAUGUACUAGACUACAAUUUUUGUUUGAAAGUCAUCUGAACAGUUUUGCAAGGUUUCAUCAUCUUGUAUUGUCUGACUGUUGGAAUACACCCACUGAAGUACGAAUCUCCCACAUUUUUUACCUGGAAAAAAUUCUGCACAACCAUUGUAGGGCCUUUUUCCCAAGGCGGCAAAAUCUUAAGCCCAGGAAAGGAAAGCAAGAUUCAUUUCCUUCAAGUGAGGAGCUCUCUGACUUCGAGCUAUCCUUAUGUGUGCUCAUCCAUGUGAGAAGAAGAGGUGAUCUACAGGGACUAUUCAAGUGAGAUUGCCCACAGUUCAUGAUGAAGGAAAUCGGUCCAUAUACUUUCUGAAUCCAACAUAUGAAGAUCAUUGCUGUUCAAACUUGGCCCUGACCUUGAGAUACGAGACCUUCCUGUGGGUUGCUGAAGGAGACCCAUAUCGAUGGCAGGAGCUGUAGAGCAUGUUGUCUUGCAGGUAGUACUCCAUAACAUGGCUCCUGGAACAUAUUCACCAAAUGUCUCUACAUCCAUAAAGGACAGCACGGAUGGAAACAUCAGGAGAUAAUGCAAAGAAGGAAACAAAAAAAAA
ensembl:lncRNA